CCUGCCCGCGRACMUUGCGAGAAGUCCACUGAACCUAUCAUUUAGAGGAAGGAGAAGUCGUAACAAGGUUUCCGUAGGUGAACCUGCGGAAGGAUCAUUGUCGAAACCUGCAAAGCAGAAUGACCCGUGAACAUGUUAUUACCCUUCCUCGGCAUUGCGUAGGACUUGUCCAAACAUUGUCGAGCUCAACUAAUCAUCGAGCGCGGUAUGCGCCAAGGAAAAUCUAAAGAACAUGACCGCUCUGUUGUGACUUCGGAACGAAUGUUGGCCUCGGAGAUGUGUUUGUUCUAUGAAUCAAAACGACUCUCGGCAACGGAUAUCUCGGCUCUCGCAUCGAUGAAGAACGUAGCGAAAUGCGAUACGUGGUGUGAAUUGCAGAAUUCCGUGAAUCAUCGAGUUUUUGAACGCAAGUUGCGCCCGAAGCCAUUCGGCCGAGGGCACGCCUGCCUGGGCGUCACGCAUCGUUGCCCCCUCCUCAAGCCUAUUGCUCACGAAAUAGGUAAAUGAGCUUGUUGUUGGGUGGGCGUAAAUUGGCUUCCCGUUUGCUUGUCUUCCGGUUGGCCUAAAAUCGAAUUCAUUAGCUGCGACUGCCGUGGCACAUGGUGGUAWUCGAACUAAUCGUAACCCGUCACGUGCGUCUGCCAGCCUAACGAAUGGCGUAAACCCAAAUGUGUUACCCUUUUCGGGCUAUGCUUCCAACGCGACCCCAGGUCAGGCGGGAUUACCCGCUGAAUUUAAGCAUAUCAAWUUAAAGCCGGGAAGGAAAAAAAAAACCUUU
rnacentral:rRNA from 1 species